rnacentral:lncRNA from 1 species
UCGAGAAAAUAGUGAGAGUCUUUGUUUGUUUUUAAAGUCCCUAGAACAAAUAUUUUUAUAAGUACAAAAUCUAGUUAGAAACUAUUCUCUUUGCAGAUAACCAUGUCAUGUUCAAACCUCUUUACCUGAAUUCUUGAUACAAAUAAGUUGACCGACACUAAUUACAAAGAUUGGCUCCAGAAUUUGAGAAUUAUUCUUAAUUUCGAAAAACUCACCCAUGUCCUC